UGCCGAAGUUUUCCUCAGUAGUUAACUGCAGCCGGUUCCACAAUUCGGCAGUUAACUGCCAAGGGGCAU
rnacentral:pre_miRNA from 1 species